AGAAUCAACGCUGGCGGCGUGCCUAACACAUGCAAGUCGAACGAGAAAGUGGGAGCAAUCCCACGAGUAAAGUGGCACACGGGUGAGUAACACGUGACUAACCUACCCUUGAGUGGGGGAUAACCUAGGGAAACCUGGGCUAAUACCGCAUGAUACCUACGGGUCAAAGGAGCAAUUCGCUUAAGGAGGGGGUCGCGGCAGAUUAGUUAGUUGGCGGGGUAAUGGCCCACCAAGACAGUGAUCUGUA
rnacentral:rRNA from 1 species